AGUGAACGCUGGCGGUAGGCCUAACACAUGCAAGUCGAACGGCAGCACAGUAAGAGCUUGCUCUUACGGGUGGCGAGUGGCGGACGGGUGAGGAAUACAUCGGACUCUACUUUUUCGUGGGGGAUAACGUAGGGGAACUUACGCUAAUACCGCAUACGACCUACGGGUGAAAGCAGUGGAUCUUCGGACCUUGCGCGAUUGAAUGAGCGGAUGUCGGAUUAGCUAGUUGGCGGGGUAAAGGCCCACCAUGUCGACGAUCCGUAGCUGGUCUGAGAGGAGGGUCAGCCACACUGGAACUGAGACACGGUCCAGAGUCCUACGGGAGGCAGCAGUGGGGAAUAUUGGACAAUGGGCGCAAGCCUGAUCCAGCCAUACCGCGUGGGUGAAGAAGGCCUUCGGGUUGUAAAGCCCUUUUGUUGGGAAAGAAAAGCAGCAGGUUAAUACCCCGCGGUUCUGACGGUACCCAAAGAAUAAGCACCGGCUAACUUCGUG
rnacentral:rRNA from 1 species